rnacentral:lncRNA from 1 species
AUUACUCAGCUAUUAAAAAGCAGGCAAAUGGAUGGAACUUGAGAAUAUCAUCCUGAAUGAGGUAACCCAGUUCCAAAAGGACAUUAAUGGUAUGUACUCACUUAUAAGUGGAUAUUAGCCAUAAAAUACAUGAUACCAUGUUACACUCCACAGACCCAAAGAGGCUAAACAAGAAAGAAGGUACAAGCAAGGAUGCUUGAUUUUAACUUAAAAGGGGGAAGAAAAAAGUCUUAAGAGGUAGAUGGAGGGACCGAACUGGGAGAGAUUCGGGAUGGAAAGGGGAAUGGAGGUGGGGGUUCAGGAUCUGGUAUGGGGAGGGACAGGAGAGAUGGCCAUAUGACCAUGAGUAUUAGUGAAAAUCUGCAACUGACAGGAUGAAGAAAGGGGCUAUCUCUAAGAUGUGACAGGGACCUGGGAAAGGGAGAUAACCAAGAAUCAAUGGAGGUGACCUUAGCUUUGACUCAUAGCACUGGGGAGGUGGAACCUGAAGAGAUCACUUCAUGUAGCCAGGUAGGAAUCUCAGUGGAGAGGUAAGGACCAAGCCUCCCACAAAACUUUUACCCUAAAUUAUCCUGUCUACAAGAACUACAGAAUCAGGGGAAGGAGUGGAGACUGAGGGAAUGGCCAACCAAUAACCAGCCCAACUUGAGACUCAUCUCAUGGGCAAGCACCAAUCCCUCUGUUCUUCUUGCAGGCAGGACUUUAGCAUGGCUGUCUUCUGAGAGGCUCCACCCACCAACUGAUUCAGAGAUAUGCACCCACAGCCAAACAAUGGAUGGAGCUUUGGAACUCUUAUGGAAUAAUAGGAGGAAGGAUUGCAGGUCCCAGAUCAGGAUAUGAACUUCCCAGGAAGAAUGAUUGAGUUAAUUAAUCUGGACUCUUGGGGCUCUCAGAGUCUGAACCACCAACCAAAGAACAUACACCUGCUGAACCUAGGCCUCUUGGCAUGGAAUCCCUGAACAUAUCAAGAAGAUGAGCACUGAGGAGAAGCGAGGCUCCCAUGAACCACUUUAUGAUAAAAAUGGUCCCCAAUCCCAUGUUGCAUCAUUAAGUGCUAUUAGCAGUAUUUUAUCAUCAUUGUUGUAUAUGAACUUUGUAUUGAAUUCUUCCACGAGUGGUUUUAAUUCUAUCUUAAAAGUUCAGGACAUUCCUAGUAUAUAAAAUACAACUUGUAUUUGUCUGCUGUCGCCUUUAUGAUGCAUGGUUCUGAUAGCUAUUGCCAUACCUUUAAAAGUCAUAAGCACUGCAUGCUUUCUAUGACUAUUGUCCCAUAAACUGUGAAUAGACAGUUUUCAUCUAUGUUUACCCGUCUCUGCCUUUUCUCUUCCUCUUUCACUGGCUAGGAAUGCUACGCUAUGCCUGACAGAAGUGUCGAGACCAGGAAAACUCCUGUCUAGACUGGAGAAGCAUUAUUUUUAAUGAGCAAAAUAUAAACAACCUGUUAUUUAGUAAUAAAACAUACACAAUAGAACAGGAUUCAAUUAUUAAAUUUUCUCUUUUAGAAUAUAUUUCUAGAGCUAAAAA